AACGAACGCUGGCGGCAUGCCUAACACAUGCAAGUCGAACGAGACCUUCGGGUCUAGUGGCGCACGGGUGCGUAACGCGUGGGAACCUGCCCUUAGGUUCGGAAUAACUCCCCGAAAGGGGUGCUAAUACCGGAUAAUGUCUUCGGACCAAAGAUUUAUCGCCUUUGGAUGAGCCCGCGUGGGAUUAGCUAGUUGGUAGGGUAAAAGCCUACCAAGGCGACGAUCCAUAGCUGGAAUGAGAGGAUGAUCAGCCACACUGGGACUGAGACACGGGCCAGACUCCUACGGGAGGGAGCAGAGGGGAAUAUUGGACAAUGGGCGAAAGGAUGAUGCAGCAAUGCCGCGUAAGUGAUGUAGGCCUUAGGGAAGUAAAGCUCUUUUACACGGGAUGAUAAUGACAGUACCGAGAGAAUAAGCGCCGGCUAACUCCGUG
rnacentral:rRNA from 1 species